UGACGCUCUCCCCAAGGACACAAGCCAUGCAUGCCCGCACACCCGGGAAGCGGCGGACGGCUCAGGACAACGGUUGCACCCCCCGCGGCGGUCCCUGCUAGCCGGACACCGCUGGCAACCCGGCGCCAAGA
rnacentral:rRNA from 1 species